CCAACUCCUAUCCCUUUCAAAUAAAGCUGUGUCCACCUAACACUACCGAGCUCCCUCAUCCAUAGCCAACCCUGAUUCCACCGACUCCCCAGUCCCAGUGUUAAUAAAGCUAAUUGUAGACGCUACACUUCGCCUCUCUCGCCAUUCGCAGACGUGGCCCUGGAACUUCAACAUUCAUCCACAAAAACUCAUUCCUUGUCCACCACAGGCGCCAAUACAUCAAACAAAAUUCUUCAAAGAUGGAUCGAGAGGCCCAUGCGACUAUCUGC
rnacentral:lncRNA from 1 species